rnacentral:lncRNA from 1 species
CUACAGAGGGAGCGCCUGCACAAGAUCCAUGAGGAAUUGGCCCAGAAGGACGCCGAGCUGUGUACGUGGGAAGAGGCCAGCCCUCCCCUGGAAGAGCAGCUGCACCUUUCGCGGCAGGAAGAGCGCACGCUGCACUCCGAGUUGACCCUGGCACGCUCGCAGCUGGCCACCUGUGAGGCACGCCUGCUACAGUGCCGUCAGCGCCUGUGCCAGCUGGGACAUGAGCUUGCGGAGGAGAAGCGGUGUCAAGGUGGUGAAGAGAAGACCUGUCGGAGCAGCUGUCCGAGCGUCGGCGCAUGGUAGCUCAGCUGAGUGAGGAGCUGCGCGAGGCCAACCUGGAGGCCCUGGCUUUGGCCG